CAUUACAAGUGAGGCUACCGAACGUUGGAAACAGCGGUUAGGAGCUUACACCCACCCGUGUUUACAUACUAUUGUUGCUUUGGCGGGCCGUGGCCUCCACUGCGGGCUCUGCUCGUGUGUGCCCGCCAGAGAACCAAACUCUGAAUGUUAGUGAUGUCCGAGUACUAUCUAAUAGUUAAAACUUUCAACAACGGAUCUCUUGGUUCUGGCAUCGAUGAAGAACGCAGCGAAAUGCGAUAAGUAAUGUGAAUUGCAGAAUUCAGUGAAUCAUCGAAUCUUUGAACGCACAUUGCGCCCUGUGGUAUUCCGCAGGGCAUGCCUGUUCGAGCGUCAUUUAACCACUCACGCCUAGCGUGGUAUUGGGGCACGCGGUCUCCGCGGCCCUCAAAAUUAGUGGCGGCGCCGGUGGCUCUAAGCGUAGUACAUACUCCCGCUAUAGAGUUCCCCCCGGUGCUCGCCAGAACCCCAAUUUUUACAGGUUG
rnacentral:rRNA from 1 species